rnacentral:tRNA from 2 species
GUCUGAAUAAUUUAACGGUAAAAUUCUAUUUUCAUGCAAUAGUUAUGAGGGUUCGACUCUCUCUUCAGACU